CCCUAAACCUACACAUGCAAGUCUCAGCACCCCCGUGAGGACGCCCUUUUAUCUAACCCAGAAUUAGGAGCCGACAUCAGGCACUAAAUCCGCCCAUAACGUCUAGUCCCACCACACCCCCAAGGGUUUUCAGCAGUGAUUAAUAUUGUUUAUAAGUGUUAGCUUGAACCAGUUAUAGGAAAGAGAGCUGGCCAACUCGGUGCCAGCCGCCGCGGCUAAACCGCAUGAGCUCAAGUUGAUAUCUUUCGGCGUUAAGCGUGAUUAAAGACCCCCCCCCCCCACUAAUUAGAACAAAACCUAAACUUAGCUGUGACAAGCUUGCUGUUGAGAAAAACGAAUACGAAAGUUGUUCUAAUAAACUUGAAUACACGACAGUCGGGAAACAAACUGGGAUUAGAUACCCCACUAUGCCCCACCGUAAAAUAUUUACCUACAUUACCAACGCCUGGGUAUUACGAGCUUUAGCUUAAAACCCAAAGGACUUGACGGUGUCCCAUCCAACUAGAGGAGCCUGUUCUAUAAUCGAUAAUCCCCGAUUUACCCAACCCCCCCUUGCCAAUCAGCCUGUAUACCUCCGUCGCAAACUUACCAUAUGAAUGCCAACAGUAAGUUCAAUGAUUUUACACCAACACGUCAGGUCAAGGUGCAGCUCAUGAUGGGGAAAGCAAUGGGCUACAAUUUCUAAAAUAGAACACACGGAAUGCUGCAUGAAACACAGCAUGAAGGCGGAUUUAGUAGUAAAAAGUAAAUAAAGUGUCCUUCUUAAUAAGGCCCUGGGACGCGUACACACCGCCCGUCACCCUCUUCAACAGCACACAAUAUGUUUCUAACAAACUCUGCACUUUAGAAGAGGCAAGUCGUAACAUGGUAAGUGUACCGGAAGGUGCACUUGGAUUAC
rnacentral:ncRNA from 1 species